rnacentral:rRNA from 1 species
CCUACGGGGGGCUGCAGUGGGGAAUAUUGGACAAUGGGGGGAACCCUGAUCCAGCCAUGCCGCGUGUGUGAAGAAGGCCCUCGGGUUGUAAAGCACUUUCAGUGAGGAAGAACGCCUGGUGGUUAAUACCCAUCAGGAAAGACAUCACUCACAGAAGAAGCACCGGCUAACUCCGUGCCAGCAGCCGCGGUAACACGGAGGGUGCGAGCGUUAAUCGGAAUUACUGGGCGUAAAGCGCGCGUAGGUGGCUUGAUAAGCCGGUUGUGAAAGCCCCGGGCUCAACCUGGGAACGGCAUCCGGAACUGUCAAGCUAGAGUGCAGGAGAGGAAGGUAGAAUUCCCGGUGUAGCGGUGAAAUGCGUAGAGAUCGGGAGGAAUACCAGUGGCGAAGGCGGCCUUCUGGACUGACACUGACACUGAGGUGCGAAAGCGUGGGUAGCAAACAGGAUUAGAUACCCCUGUAGUC